rnacentral:ncRNA from 1 species
UUAACAGCCAUGAUCGGGAUAACAGGCUGAACAGGGCCACAGAGAGCCGGAGCAGGUGGGAACCGGUGUCACUGGGCAGUCUGGGCUCACCCGGGAGCUGCCCUUGUGAACGUGCCGGCGGCACCGGUAAUGGGGGCCGGGUUUUCAGAAACCCGUUAUCAAAAGGCACAGGUAUGGUAUGUGUUUUGUGCAUGAGCGGCUCUUCAUGAGCAAUCAGGGUGGUACCGCGGAAGGAUAAACCUCUCGUCCCUGGC